UACGGGGGGCAAGCGUUGUUCGGAAUUACUGGGCGUAAAGGGCUCGUAGGCGGCCAACUAAGUCAGACGUGAAAUCCCUCGGCUUAACCGGGGAACUGCGUCUGAUACUGGAUGGCUUGAAUCCGGGAGAGGGAGUGCGGAAUUCCAGGUGUAGCGGUGAAAUGCGUAGAUAUCUGGAGGAACACCGGUGGCGAAGGCGACAUCCUGGACCGGUAUUGACGCUGAGUGAGCGAAAGCCAGGGGAAGCCAAAGCGGGG
rnacentral:rRNA from 1 species